rnacentral:rRNA from 1 species
GCCGGCAGCUAGCUCUCUGCAACUCUCACAUGGUCGCCCACUAAAGCUAAGCAGGGCUGCACCUGGUCAGUACCUAGAUGGGAGACCACAUGGGAAAGCUAGGUUGCUGCCGGAA